rnacentral:rRNA from 1 species
AUGGCGUCUUCAGUGCCGCGCUCUGGAAAUCCUACUCUGCUGGGCUCUCUUGAGAAAGGGAAACGAAGGGAAAAUGUGAAAAACCUAAUAAGGGAAGAAAGAGAAGUGGGAAAUAUAACAUAUAAAAGCAACUCUCCAUCUACUUACACUUUGCACAAGUGGGCUGAGAUGUGCGAAAUGCGGAGAGCUGAGGACCCAUCCCUCAACCAAAACCCCUGUGGCUCCAUGCUGUGGUGGUGUAGAGAAUGGUCAGAAGUUUGGCAUGGUGGCGAAGGGUGUUGGGUGAGUAGCGGCGAUGCCAACGACUUGGUAGUGAGCGAUCCAUGGCGGCGGCGAAGGAAGAGCAUAGAGGUGACAUUCCUGUUUGGUCUGAGUUCGAGUCUGCGUGUUGCCCCCCUUAAAGUUGAAGCCAUAUCCUUGCUGGUCAGGGGUGCUCGAUAG